GACGAACCGUGCGAACGUUGUUCGGAAUCACUGGGCUUAAAGGGCGCGUAGGCGGGUCACCAAGUCCGGGGUGAAAUCUUUCGGCUUAACCGGAAAAUAGCCUUGGAUACUGGUAAUCUCGAGGGAGGUAGGGGUCUGUGGAACUUCUGGUGGAGCGGUGAAAUGCGUUGAUAUCAGAAGGAACGCCGGUGGCGAAAGCGACGGACUGGACCUCCACUGACGCUGAGGCGCGAAAGCCAGGGGAGCAAACGGG
rnacentral:rRNA from 1 species